AUUUCCGGUAAGUGACCCUUCCACCUAAGGAAUCGAAUAAAGAUAAAGCUUGUUGUGUUAGGAUGACAAAGUAAGUUGCGCUUUUUCCUUUUCUUUCUGUUGAUAUUUAAAUGUAAGUAAUAAUUGUUUCCAGUUUCGGUACAAACACAGCGGUUUUAGUGGCUGAGGCCAGAAAUAAUUUAUUUUAUCAUUCUCUGAUGUAUGAAAGGCGAGGUUGACCCGCGGAGAGAUGGAAAAGGAGAUUUACUGCACGGCUUUCCCCUCGAUUCUCUGAGAGAUUAGGGUUGGUUGUCGUGUAUCCGAAUGUAACAAUGUCCCAAUAUAACGUGGAAAUAGGUGUAUGCAGAUGCUUCCAAUGGAAUAGGUGUAGCAGGAUUGCACUUAUAAUCCAUGAUAGCAGUCUGGAGUAAAAGCGUUGUUUGACUAUUACACACUUUGCUGGUGCAUUUUCGGCUAGUUCCUUCAUUUGUCUCAAUAGCUGUGAAGGCAUAUGGACAGCAUGAUGUUCAUCGUUCACUUAUGUGCGAAACUUCUGCUCUGUAGAUAGAGAAGUCCAUCAUAAAGUCUACGUCUUAACACUGUAAUAAGUGGCAUCUUAUGGUGGGUUGAUAAUAAGAUCCUUAACUUCUGACUUAAAGAAAGCCUAUUGGCAGUGAUUCAGCAGAAGGCCCGCGACGCCAUAAUCUUCAGCGAAGAAGUCUUCACAUUUCACACCAGACUUCGUACCACCGGCUUCUGCUUGUUCGUUUCUCUUAUAUCCUCACCACUGCAAACAUCUUAUCUAACUGUGCAAUUGUCUCUUUUCAUACCUUCUCUCUGAUUCCUACAUGUCCACGCUCACUUUGCUCAGCACUUGUUAACAAUUCCAAAUAAAUUACUAUGCUUUAAAAACAAAACACGCCUUCUGACAUUUAUGCAUAGAUUUAUUUCCACGUUAUUUUGGGACAUUGUUACAUUCGAUCACACAACAACCAACUCUAUUACAUUUAGAACCAGUAACUAACCACUAAAUUUGGUGAAUACGAAACUCACUAAAAAAUUGUCGAAAUACAUUAAGGUAUGGAGUUACUUCCCCCUUAACUGCUUUUUGUUAGUUCUUCAUUAUCACUUUUCCUCAUUAAACUUGGUCUUAUUUAAUUAAACAUUUAGAUUUACUUCGUCAGAACUAGUUUGCAAGUGAUACAUAGGACCCCAUAUUGACUGUAAAUAAUUACUAAUUUACUUAAUUUAGAGUGGUCAUUUCAAGCGAUCGUCGAAACUUCUGUUUUACAGUAAACGUCGACGUUAUAUCCUGUUUCUUUCAAUUAUAUUGUGACAUCUUCCUCGUCGGUUAUAUAUUAUGAUAACUGAACGGAACAGAAAAGUAGAAAGACAGCGCAGGAGGACCGGCAGGGACCAGAUGACGUGAAGUCUGCCUAUUUUUACGUCGUUCUUCUAGAAUUUGUUUGAAGGGAUCCGAGAUGAGAUAUGUGGAGUCCACCCAUAAUAACUAAAUGAUCUGGCCACGGUACCCAAUCUCAACUUCAGAAUAACUGAUGAUAUUGGCAGAAAAGGAAUUUUUAUAUCUGACAUCUUCAAUAUUUAUCUUCUUUGAUAGACUAAAGGAAGCUGUUAUACAGAAGAACUAUAACCAUGUUUAUAUAAAUCGGUGAUGAAUUAUAGCGAAACAUUUCCUCUCUAUGAGAUUGUCAUCAACAUUUCUCUAAUAUAUGUGGCAGAUUAAUUUCAUUUGAAAUAAGCUUGGAUUAAAUUACAAAGACGCUUUCUGCACCUUCCGAUAUCAGCAAAGAUCACAGUUGAUAGAAAUAUAACAAAACAAACAGCAAUACGAAUAGGUUAUAAAAUGAGAAAUAAGAAAAAUAUUCCUACGUAUAUACAAAGUAGUGAGAGUCAAUAAUAAUGGAAAACUUAAUUAUAUGAGAAAGUCUGAGAGUUGAUUAUCUUUUUCUUAAUGCCUUUAGCAUUUAAACCAGCCAUACCCUGCCUAUAUAUUCUGACUAUUUUACAAUCAAUCCAACCAGAUUUGGCCUCUCAUACCUACCCUGCAAUGCCACUAUAAAAAGAUCACAUCGUUGAAGUUUCAAACCUAUGAGAUAAUACAAGUUUAAUUCAAAACAACGUGAAUGAAAAAGAAUUACAAAUCACAGAGUAAUUUGAAUACCAAAAGGUUUAAAAGAUGCCGAAAGAGUUAGGAAAAUCACCAUACCAAUGUGAUAUCUGUCAAAAUUCAUUCUCCCAAAAACAUCACCUCACAACUCACAAAUUUAUUCAUACAGGAGGAAAAACCAUGCCACUGUGAUAUCUGUGGUAAAACAUUUCAUCGGAAUGUGCACUUGAUUGACCACAAAUGCAUUCAUACAGGAGAAAAACACAAAUAUAUUCAUUCAGGAGAAAAACCAAUUCAGUGUGAUAUCUGUGGUAAAUCAUUCUACCAUACAAGUAGCUUAACUGUACAUAAACAUAUACAGGAGAC